GAAACAUAAUGAAGGUUAUGACCAUAGAUAUAUGGGUAUAUGACCUCUAUGCAUAGCCACAUAUGGACCUCUAAAUAUAUCUGGACACCAGAAAUCAAUUUAUAAUGCUAAAUGCAAGCAUUUAUUUUAUAUCAAGAUUUUGUUGGCAUCUCACUUGAAUAAUAGUUGAAGGGUUUGUAGAUAGAAACUAUCGAGUGUAAUCUUUAACAAACAUUUUACAAAUUAUAAUCUCUUAUUUAAAUUAAUCUCAUAUUUAACGAUUCUCUUAGUGGUAACAGUGCGACCGAACAGUAAAUAUGAUUUUUUGCAAGUAUAAUAUUUGGAUCAUUCUAACAAGAAAUGUAAUAUAUCUUUAUAGUACAAAGUUGCUGGAUAUUAUAUGAUGACAAUUAUAGAUGAGUUUCAAAUUAGUUUUUUUUUUUUUUUUUUUUUUUUUUUUGGGGGGGGGGGGGNNNNNNNNNNNNNNNNNNNNGGGGGUUUACUGCUAAAACCAUAUAUAUAAACAAUGCUUUUCAUCACGGUUAAUAGUUAUAUUAACCGUGUUUUCAUUGAGUCAAGGGCGGAUUUUCAUUUAUUUAAAGAGGGGUAGAAAAAUUUCUGGUGGGGUGCAAGCGGCACCCAAUGGUUUGCGGCGCGACUAAUAUCAGAGGAACGGGGCAAUUAAUCUAAUGACAUCAUUUCCGGCAGUUUGACAGUGAAAAUUAAAAGUUGACAUAUAUGAGACCUUUACUGUAAAGAUAUAAUACAUUUCGUCUCAUAGUAACCGAAAUAUUGCACAUAAAGUACUACUGACUCCACGACCUUGGUAACCUUGGUAAUCUGACGAGUUAACUCUAGUUCUGUCGGACUAAGAGUCCAUCUUCAGUGUAAAAAUGUUUAAAACGAUCUUAGUCUACACACGAGUCAAGUCAGUUAUAACGUCUUUAGCCAUUUACUACAGUAAACUUAAUUAGAGCCUUACGUAUGUAGAUGACUAAAAGACGACAUAAAUACUGGAGCCAGAUAUGUAGGAAUUAAGGUGGCUCCCUACAG
rnacentral:lncRNA from 1 species